UAGGGAAUCUUCCGCAAUGGGCGAAAGCCUGACGGAGCAACGCCGCGUGAGUGAUGAAGGUCUUCGGAUCGUAAAACUCUGUUAUUAGGGAAGAACAUAUGUGUAAGUAACUGUGCACAUCUUGACGGUACCUAAUCAGAAAGCCACGGCUAACUACGUGCCAGCAGCCGCGGUAAUACGUAGGUGGCAAGCGUUAUCCGGAAUUAUUGGGCGUAAAGCGCGCGUAGGCGGUUUUUUAAGUCUGAUGUGAAAGCCCACGGCUCAACCGUGGAGGGUCAUUGGAAACUGGAAAACUUGAGUGCAGAAGAGGAAAGUGGAAUUCCAUGUGUAGCGGUGAAAUGCGCAGAGAUAUGGAGGAACACCAGUGGCGAAGGCGACUUUCUGGUCUGUAACUGACGCUGAUGUGCGAAAGCGUGGGGAUCAAACAGGAUUAGAUACCCUGGUAGUCCACGCCGUAAACGAUGAGUGCUAAGUGUUAGGGGGUUUCCGCCCCUUAGUGCUGCAGCUAACGCAUUAAGCACUCCGCCUGGGGAGUACGACCGCAAGGUUG
rnacentral:rRNA from 1 species